rnacentral:rRNA from 1 species
GGGGGGGCGCUACCUGCAGUCGAACGGUAACAGGAAGCAGCUUGCUGCUUCGCUGACGAGUGGCGGACGGGUGAGUAAUGUCUGGGAAACUGCCUGAUGGAGGGGGAUAACUACUGGAAACGGUAGCUAAUACCGCAUAACGUCGCAAGACCAAAGAGGGGGACCUUCGGGCCUCUUGCCAUCGGAUGUGCCCAGAUGGGAUUAGCUUGUUGGUGGGGUAACGGCUCACCUAGGCGACGAUCCCUAGCUGGUCUGAGAGGAUGACCAGCCACACUGGAACUGAGACACGGUCCAGACUCCUACGGGAGGCAGCAGUGGGGAAUAUUGCACAAUGGGCGCAAGCCUGAUGCAGCCAUGCCGCGUGUAUGAAGAAGGCCUUCGGGUUGUAAAGUACUUUCAGCGGGGAGGAAGGGAGUAAAGUUAAUACCUUUGCUCAUUGACGUUACCCGCAGAAGAAGCACCGGCUAACUCCGUGCCAGCAGCCGCGGUAAUACGGAGGGUGCAAGCGUUAAUCGGAAUUACUGGGCGUAAAGCGCACGCAGGCGGUUUGUUAAGUCAGAUGUGAAAUCCCCGGGCUCAACCUGGGAACUGCAUCUGAUA